UGGGGAAUUUUGGACAAUGGGCGCAAGCCUGAUCCAGCCAUGCCGCGUGCGGGAAGAAGGCCUUCGGGUUGUGAAACCGCUUUUGUCAUGGGAAGAGAUCUUCUGAGUUAAUACCUCGGGAGGAUGACGGUACCUGAAGAAUAAGCACCGGCUAACUACGUGCCAGCAGCCGCGGUAAUACGUAGGGUGCAAGCGUUAAUCGGAAUUACUGGGCGUAAAGCGUGCGCAGGCGGUUUUGUAAGACAGAGGUGAAAUCCCCGGGCUCAACCUGGGAACUGCCUUUGUGACUGCAAGGCUUGAGUGCGGCAGAGGGGGAUGGAAUUCCGCGUGUAGCAGUGAAAUGCGUAGAUAUGCGGAGGAGCACCGAUGGCGAAGGCAAUCCCCUGGGCCUGCACUGACGCUCAUGCACGAAAGCGUGGGGAGCAAACAGGAUUAGAUAGCCCUGGUAGUCCACGCCCUAAACGAUGUCAACUGGUUGUUGGGAAGGUUCCUUCUCAGUAACGUAGCUAACGCGUGAAGUUGACCGCCUGGGGAGUACGGCCGCAAGGUUGAAACUCAAAUGAAUUGACGGGGUCAUAGCUGUUUCC
rnacentral:rRNA from 1 species